rnacentral:rRNA from 1 species
AUUGAACGCUGGCGGCAGGCCUAACACAUGCAAGUCGAACGAGUGGCGGACGGGUGAGUAAUGUCUGGGAAACUGCCUGAUGGAGGGGGAUAACUACUGGACACGGUAGCUAAUACCGCAUACCAUCAGAUGUGCCCCUAUGGGAUUAGCUAGUAGGUGAGGUAACGGCUCACCUAGGCGACGAUCCCUAGCUGGUCUGAGAGGAUGAUCAGUCACACUGGAACUGAGACACGGGCCAGACGCCUACGGGAGGCAGCAGUGGGGAAUAUUGGACAAUGGGCGAAAGCCUGAUGCAGCCAGGCCGCGUGUGUGAAGAAGGUCUUCGGAUUGUAAAGCACUUUCAGUUGGGAGGCGUUACCAACAGAAGAAGCACCGGCUAACUACGUGCCAGCAGCCGCGGUAAUUC